GAUGAACGCUGGCGGCGUGCUUAACACAUGCAAGUCGAGCGAGUGAGUUCUUCGGAACGAUCUAGCGGCGGACGGGUGAGUAACACGUGGGCAACCUGCCUCAUAGAGGGGAAUAGCCUCCCGAAAGGGAGAUUAAUACCGCAUAAAAUUAUCGAGUGGCAUCACAUGAUAAUCAAAGGAGUAAUCCGCUAUGAGAUGGGACCGCGGCGCAUUAGCUAGUUGGUGAGGUAACGGCUCACCAAGGCGACGAUGCGUAGCCGACCUGAGAGGGUGAUCGGCCACAUUGGGACUGAGACACGGCCCAGACUCCUACGGGAGGCAGCAGUGGGGAAUAUUGCGCAAUGGGCGAAAGCCUGACGCAGCAACGCCGCGUGCGGGAUGAAGGCCUUCGGGUUGUAAACCGCUUUCAGCAGGGAAGAAGCGAAAGUGACGGUACCUGCAGAAGAAGCACCGGCUAACUACGUGCCAGCAGCCGCCGUAA
rnacentral:rRNA from 1 species